rnacentral:rRNA from 1 species
ACGGAGCACGCCGCGUGAGUGAUGAAGGCUUUCGGGUCGUAAAACUCUGUUGUUAGGGAAGAACAAGUGCUAGUUGAAUAGCUGGCACCUUGACGGUACCUAACCAGAAAGCCACGGCUAACUACGUGCCAGCAGCCG